CCGCCGCGCGCGGCGGGCCUACGGGAGGCAGCAGUGGGGAAUAUUGCACAAUGGGCGCAAGCCUGAUGCAGCCAUGCCGCGUGUGUGAAGAAGGCCUUCGGGUUGUAAAGCACUUUCAGCGGGGAGGAAGGCAUUAAGGUUAAUAACCUUAGUGAUUGACGUUACCCGCAGAAGAAGCACCGGCUAACUCCGUGCCAGCAGCCGCGGUAAUA
rnacentral:rRNA from 1 species